rnacentral:rRNA from 1 species
CCUACGGGUGCCAGCAGUGAGGAAUAUUGGUCAAUGGACGAGAGUCUGAACCAGCCAAGUAGCGUGAAGGAUGACUGCCCUAUGGGUUGUAAACUUCUUUUAUCAAGGAAUAAAACGAGGCACGUGUGCCUUUUUGCAUGUACUUUAUGAAUAAGGAUCGGCUAACUCCGUGCCAGCAGCCGCGGUAAUACGGAGGAUCCGAGCGUUAUCCGGAUUUAUUGGGUUUAAAGGGAGCGUAGAUGGUUUGUUAAGUCAGUUGUGAAAGUUUGCGGCUCAACCGUAAAAUUGCAAUUGAUACUGGAAGUCUUGAGUACAGUUGAGGUAGGCGGAAUUCGUGGUGUAGCGGUGAAAUGCUUAGAUAUCACGAAGAACCCCGAUUGCGAAGGCAGCUUACUAAACUGUGACUGACAUUGAUGCUCGAAAGUGUGGGUAUCAAACAGGAUUAGAUACCCUGGUAGUC